CGAUCAGUCACUCUAGACACACCUUCUGGCAAAUCGCCAGGCGCCAUUUUGCAAAGCUCUGCGGUUGACGGAUCUCCGGGCCCCUGGAGCACCCGCCCUCGACACCAGUGAGUAAGAAGCUAAGAUAAAGAGGAACUGCACAAUCAUGGGGAACAGCAGAGGGAGAGGAAGAAGCAGGGAAAUAAGGAAAACAUCCGUUUUGCCAGAAAUAGGAAAUUUAAAGCCAAAAAGUCCAUCAGUUUUACCUGAAGCUUCAGAAGAUCCCGUGAAGAAUGUACAAUAAUCAGCAGUUUGCUUACUUCCACACCAACAGAAGGAAAUUUACACUUAUAUGCCCUGAAGAAUUGACUCGUUUCUGUAAAUGACAUAUGGUGGAGAAUCCUUUUUGAAAAUAAAUACUCCUGUUUUCAUGCUGAACGGGUUUUUUCAUUUAAAUUCAUGACAACAUAUCAAAAACCUUGCCAUAAAAAUACAGAGCAAUCAAUUGAAGUAAUACAGGAU
rnacentral:lncRNA from 1 species